rnacentral:rRNA from 1 species
UACGGAGGGUGCAAGCGUUAUCCGGAUUCACUGGGUUUAAAGGGUGCGUAGGUGGGAAUGUAAGUCAGUGGUGAAAUCUCCGUGCUUAACAUGGAACUGCCAUUGAUACUAUGUUUCUUGAAUUUUCUGGAGGUCAGCGGAAUAUGUCAUGUAGCGGUGAAAUGCUUAGAUAUGACAUAGAACACCAAUUGCGAAGGCAGCUCGCUGGGACGUUACUGACGCUGAGACGCGAAAGCGUGGGGAGCAAACAGG